rnacentral:rRNA from 1 species
AUUGAACGCUGGCGGCAGGCCUAACACAUGCAAGUCGAGCGAGCGGCGGACGGGUGAGUAAUGUAUGGGGACCUACCCGAUAGAGGGGGAUAACUACUGGAAACGUUGGCUAAUACCGCAUACUAUCGGAUGAACCAAUAUGGGAUUAGCUAGUCGGUGGGGUAAAGGCUAACCUAGGCGACGAUCCCUAGCGGGUCUGAGAGGAGGAUCAGCCACACUGGGACUGAGACACGGCCCAGACUCCUACGGGAGGCAGCAGUGGGGAAUAUGGCACAAUGGGCGCAAGCCUGAUGCAGCCAUGCCGCGUGUAGGAAGAAGGCCUUAGGGUUGUAAAGUACUUUUAGCGGGGAGGCGUUACCCGCAGAAGAAGCACCGGCUAACUCCGUGCCAGCAGCCGCGGUAAUAC